GCUCAUUUAAUUCAUUUCUGCACUUGGAAGCCUCUCCCUUUUCGAACGCCAAUUAGGCGGCAGCUGCUGGGGACUUUUUUCCUCUCCUUAUCCCAAGACGGCCGUCUGAUUUUCUGCGCCUGUUGACUUAAGCUCUUACAGGAGGCUGGGUGGGGCGGGCGUGGUAGGACCGCGGCCGCUCUGAAGUGGGCUGGCCGAGUUUUGCUGACUUUCCGCGAGAGCCUGUGGGUGGGAGCGGGUGAGGUUCCACAGAGGACCCAGCCCUCGUCUGUUUCUUCCAGGACGCUGGGGUUUGGGAUUUCAGAGUCUGGUUUUUCUUUGUUUCUGGAGAGUCCAUUCCAGCAUCUGGAACAAGAAUAAGAAGGAAAGAUUCGAAGCAAUAUCCCAGUACUCUUUAGAUUCUAUCAACUGUGAGACACUGGAUUUUCAAAGACGGCUGACUGCCUUUCAUGCCUCUGAACUCUGCCCUUCCUUGGCAUGAUGGAGAAGGAAAAUGAACUCAAGACCCACCUAGUACAGCAUCUUAAAUCUAAUUAGGUACCCAAACAAGUGAAUUAUUUGAACUCAACGCAUCGCAAGUUGCAAAAGUGGGCCAAGUCUCUUGGCUCCUAGGACUACAGCUUUGCCUCCUUCAGGAGCUAGAGAGCUGAUGCUCAGGAGAACUGCAGGUAUGCGCCAGGCCCCGGGAGGAAGCACACCCUCCUGUGUAAUGCGAAGGCCACGGCCCAGUCUUCAUUCUCCCCGGGUCUCAGGUGCCGGCCCAUUUGCAGAAGACCAGGGAGCAGGGAGCAGCGCUGUAUUUGAGAUCCUGAAGGACACCUCGUGGUGCCACUGGAGUCGGAGACGCAAAAGGAAAAGAUGAGGGUAAGUCGGACUCUGUCAGUUUCCUGGCAGUCCAGCCAUCUCCAGGCUCAAAGGUCUCCCGCGUACACAGGUGCAAAUGAAAUGAUAUUCGAGAGUAAGAAUGGGGACAAGCAAGCUUCCAGGCUUGGAGAGGGAACAUGAACCCACUGACCAGUGAAAUGAUCCCCAGAUCAUUCCAGAAUCCCAGUUUGCCUGCAAGCGGGGACAGCAUGCCCUCCAAGAGACUAACAGAUAAAUGUAGCUCCAGUGCCUAUGAACUUCUGUCAGUCAUGGCAAAACACGGAUCUGCUAAAAGAGUCUGGGAAAGAAGAAUCUGAAGAUGCUGAAUGAGUAAACAAAAUAAGGGGCAAGGCAGUUUCCCUCCUGUGAACAUCUUGAGCAGUCAGACAGCUCUCCGAGAUGGUGUAGAUGAAUCUCCCCGUCACUACUCCAUGCUGAAUUGGCCAUGGCUUGAACAUGGGUAGGUUAUGGGAAAACUUGGAGUCUGGCUCUCUGCUGAAAUCAAACUUUUCCUCCUCCCUGAUUUUCACCAUAGUCACUCUUCUGGAAAUUACUUGCACGUGGUUGAUAGAGUAUCAGUCUGGGGCUAAGAAAAUGGCAGCCAGGACCCAUUUGGUCAUAUGAUGAGCAGUAACAGGAAAAAACAGGGAAGAGAUAAAACCUAAAACUGGGUGGGCCUUUGCCAAGGGGAGGAUGUCUAGAGCUCUUCUGCUUUUUCAACAAAAUUACAAAAUUAUGCACUUUGACUCGCGUGGCUAAGCAGAUGUUCUCUUUGCUGCAAAUCUAUUAGCUCCUUGCUUACUCUGCCGAGUGGAUGGCGCAAGAAAAGAUGAGCUGCAGAGAAGGAGCCGGCAGUGGCAGGAAAGGACACGGGGCGUGAGAGAUUAGGAGCUGAGGGACAGCGACCCUGAAUUGAGACGAAAGGGGCUUCUGAAGGAGCAAGUCUGCAGCAUGUUUAGUUAACGUCUUUCCAACAAAGGAGAAAUUUUGUGCAGCCACAGAUCAUUUGCAAUUCAAAGAGCGAGAGGCAAACCGAGUUGAGAACAUACUUUGUGUGGAAAGGCAUUCAUAGUAUCCAUGCCCCAAAUACCUCCCACCCAAGGGAAGUCGUCCGGUACAUUUGAGAGCUUUUCGCUGACUUGGGGCCCUCAGUGCCGCCAUUUUCCCUCUUUCUCCCUCUCUCCCUUUCCUCUUCCCCCUUCCAUACUGGUUGCCUGUCUGUCACUUCAAUUCAGUCCAGCCAUCUGGAACCUUCCCUACUAGAUAAUAUCUCCACCUCAAAUUAAAAAAUGGCCCUUUCCUACUUGAUCAGAGCCCUGGUAUCUGGAUGGUUGAGGAAGAUUGCCGAAUGGCAAUGUGAGGUGGAGAUUUCCUGGGGAUUUCAAUCACCUUGCUCCCCCUCUACCCUUCAUGAUAAAGGCUAAUCAGGAGGGGAAUGAAAACAACACGCAAUCUUACGAGAAAUGAGGAAUGGGCCAGAUGCAACCCACAGAGGCUGGCUGAGAUUUCAAUUUUCUUACUGUAAUGAAAACUGCAUUUCCAUGAACCGUUGCGGUAGAAAUUACUUACCGGCGGUCACCUGUGAUAGCAUCACCCCACGGCUCACGUGGUGGGCACGGAUGCCGCCAGGGACGGUUGCUGAAGCGCCUUCUCGUGAUCACCUUCCGCGCGGUCCUCAGGGUGCCGCAGAUGGGCGGAGGCGGCGCUUCCGUGUGGGAAACGAGGCCCGAUCCAGAAUAUGAUGGAUGGUCAUCGCUGUGCUCUUCACAUGUUGUGAGAAUUCUGGGUCAUUUUCUCAAGUUUGGAAUUGUGGAUGUGGCCGUGGCUGUUUCCAGACAGAAAACAGUGGAAUCCUGGAAAGAGUCAAACAAUCAACUGUGAUUUUGUACUUCGAUCCAGAUGAAUUAAGCAAGCAGAUCCUUUGGGUUUUACACAUCUAUGAAAUAUCAGGCCCUCGUGUUCUCCUUUUGGGGUGUUCUUCCUUGAAAAGAAUGCGCUUUCACUAUUUAAAUCAUAUCAGUAAAUAGUCAUAUUGUGUCUUAUGGUUUUUUGGUCCUUCUGUCUUAAAAAGAAUGAUUUCAAGAAUGAAGUUUCACAUGCUGAUUUGAAUAGUUUAAUUUUUGUUGGAAUAAUUAGUUCCCUUCCUUCUCAUCUUUUUCUGAACCCACUGGAAAAAAAAAAAAGACAAAGGAGAGAGGCAGAGAGACACCAAAAUAACAUCUUUCCUAUCGAUAAAGCUGACAUUGGAGAAAGUGGAAUGUAUCUGUGGCCAAAUGGACUUCCUAAUCCUGAGUCCACGUGCUGGCUGCACCAGCCGAUCUGGUCAGAGGCAGAAGCAGACCACUGCUGGCCUCCACACACGGUAAGCGUGGAGAGCUUUACUGCUGUGCUUGCCAUGGGUUUGACAGCCAUCUAGAGCAUGUUUUCUCUGCUAUUUCCUAAAAGGAAGAAGAGACAGGAAGGGGCUGGGCUGUGCAUGCUUGGUUUCUUCUCACAGAUUCCUCAAUUAGGUCCUGGUUACUGUGCCCAAUAAGUGAAAGCUUUCCUGGGUCAUCCGCUGAAAUGCUGGCAAGUCCAAAGAGGUGAGGAGCAUAGCUUUGCCAGUGAGACUGUCCCGGAGUUCAACCCCCCACCACUGAGAAGCACCUUGCACUCCCAGAAGCCUUCCCAGGCUCAGUUUUCUCAUCUGUAAAACAAAAAAACGCCCACCCCUACAGGACUUCAGUGAGGAUUAAAAUAUGAUAUAAAGGGCUUGGCCUCUAGUAACACUUUCUAAAUAAUUAGUAUUUUAUAAAAAUGCUCUCGGCUUUAAUUUGGCUUCAGGCUUUUGAUCAGACAAUAAUAUUUAUUAUACACUUAGUAGGUAUGAAAGGCAACAGAAAGAGGUCUGAAGUCUAGGGUGACAGGUAAGACACACACAGAAUAGAAAACUGUGGGAUCAGGGACAAGUGGCUUAUUUCUACCCGACAUCUGGAAGAGGUAGAGAAUUUGAAUAGGGUGUCCAUUUGAGGACAAACAGCGAAGUGACUUCCCUUUUCCUAGCUAUGAAUUUGGGAUAUUCUUCUCUUUUCCUGUUUGGGCUUUUGUGUUCCUCAGAGAGGAGACCUCUGAUUCUGAGAAGUGGGCAAGAGAAGGUCAAAUUACUGCUCACAAAACAAUGACUCAAAACCCUGAGUCUUUUCCGGAUUUACCUACAUUUAAAAACAAAAAAUCCUUUGCCCCCCUCAGGACUGCUGGAGGAACAGGGGCUCCUGUGGCUUUCUGGCAAAGGCAGUCAGGGUGUGAGGAAACCAGAAGGAACCAAAACACAAUGAGAAACCCCGUUCAGCCGACCACGGAAAAGUCCUCUUUGUUGUUUGAAAUUUUUAUCUUGUUUGUGGCAAAUCUAAUGAUUCAGUAACGACCACAGCUGUGUUGGGGCCCACGAAUUUCCUCAGAGGCUUCCCCCCACCCCCACCCCCCACUUGAGAGCAGGAACAAGGCCAGCUGGGUAGGCCACCCUCCUCCAGCUCUCUUCCCAGUCUCUGCAAUGUGUUUGGGACAAGCAGCGCUUGGGGCCGCCCGUCCGGAGAUUUUAUCCGACUUCUCCUGAAUCUAAUUCCGUGGGGGAGGAAGCGAAGUAAAACUGGCUGUUGUAGGCUCAUGGACGAUGCAUUUCUGGGCAUGAGGUUCAGCUCUCUGUAUCCUGCUGUUGAAGUAAGUUUGAGAGAGUCAAAUCGUUUCUCACUGUGGUCCUCGUGGUAAUGACAGAGAGUCACAGAGAAGAUUCCGGUUUCCCAGACCCCGCCGAGGGGGGGGGCAGCUGGCACCUGCCGGCAACCGCCUGCAUGCCUCUGAUUUCCCUGGGUCAGCAUCUCCCUACUGUGUGCGCUGAGCCAAGGAGCAGCAACAAGAAGGAAAGACAAGGCAAGGUGGCCGCCGAGUGGCUCGGGGUUCUGCAUGAUCUCAGCGCGCAGCUGCAGCUGGCGUGGGUGCGGCUCCCGUGGGGAGGCCCUGGGGGCUCGGUCUCACUGGCAUGCUAAUGUCCCUCCCUGCCUCACAUGCCUCAUCUGGGAAAUGAAGGCACGGGGGUGUGUAUGUGCGGGGGUGGGGAGGGUGGGGAGCUGUGCAUUCAUUCAUUCAUUCAUUCAUGGAUCUGUUUGUUUAUUCAUCCAUGUACCUUUUUUUUUUUUUCCCCCACACAUUGAUUCUGUGCUAGGUGCUGGGGAUGCAGAAAUGAGUAUGAUUGGGCUCCUGCCCUCCUGGGAUCACAGUCUUAUGGGCAGGAUAGGUAAAUACACAAAUAAACCCAGAAAAGUCAUCUGCCUGAUAACAGGAGUGUAAGGUGCCCAGCUGUUUAGAAAUGUCGAGAUAGCUCAACAGAAAGGAUGAGUGAAGGAUGCCAAAAGCGUGGAAGAGUAUUCCAGAGGGAAGCCUAGAUCUUGCAAAAGAACUUUGCCAGAGAACGAUAGCAAGGCCGAAAGAUCUUUCAGGGAGGGAAAGGCAGAGAAGGCAGUGGCGACUCUCCAGUUCUCAGUAUCCACCUGAGAUUCCAGUUUAUCGAGUAAAAGGAAUUUUUCCUUCCUCUGAAUUUUGAAAACCAUUCCGGCCCUUCUCAGACUCUCCCAACUGUUUAAAUACCACAGAUGGGGCCGCUGACACUUGUUACCAGGUCAGGCAUGGAGAGAUCUCUUGUUGUAUUUUUCACACAGACCCUUGAUGGAGCCUGAAGACUUUAUGGAGAUGGCUGUGAUUCUUACGUUCUGUGGGGUCAAGGGCUCCUCGGAGAAUGGGAAGAAAGUGAUAAAUCAUCUCCCCAGAAAAUACACAUCAUUUCCAUAAAUUUUCAGGCGUUUCCAGAAUCAUCCCCCCCCUCCCAACCCACUCAUAUGUUCCAGGUAAAGAACUUCCCUCCUAGCCUUGAGCCAUGGAUCAGGGGACUGGCGUGACCCAGUGCAGACGCUGAGUUUUGUGGCUAUCUGACCUGAUGUGGGCAUCCAGCUUGGACAUUCUUGAGAAAGCAACACCCCAAGGCAGACCCUGGGCUGGCAUGCAGUGUAGACAAGUGCACUUUGCUCAGACUUGCAGCCCAGUGGUCUGGGACCUGGCAAAAGCAGGGAGGCAAGUUAGCUGCCCACUCACGAGCAGUGAUCUGCAGAGGUCAGAGAUGGACUGAGGUCGGUGACAGGCAGAGGUCGGUGAUGGGCGGAGUCAGUGAACAGCAAAUGUGUUUUGUCAGGCUCCCCAGCAAUUACACUGAAGUGUGUCCCCGUCUGGGUACUUUCUUUUGACUUGAGUUGGCGAAUUGGGUAGGAGGGAUGGUGGUGAUGCCAAGGCCAUUCUCAGACGGGAUAGAGAAAAGGCAGAUGAGCAAGGAGACCACAGGAGCUGUUGUAGCUCAGGUACCGACAGAGCUUUGAAAGGAAACAGAAUCCUUUGUCAGAGGACCUCAGCAGCCCCAUACUAGGGUGAAGCAAGAGGAGUUUUCCAUGGGUGCACGAUGUCAGGGGGGAGUGCCCAAAACUCAGUAAUUAAGAUAACUGAUAUUUUAAUGCACUUUUAAAAGGUCAAAAUUAACGCAAACAUCCACGAUGAAAAGAAUUUCAAAAAAUAUAUUUUUUAAAUUUUUUAAUGCUUAUUUAGUUUUUAGAGAGAGAGAGACAGAGCAUGAGUGCAGGUGGGGCAGAGAGAGAGAGAGAGAGAGAGAGAGAGAGAGAGACAUACACAGAAUCCGAAGCAGGCUCCAGGCUCUGAGCUGUCAGCACAGAGCCAGACUUGGAGCUUGAACUCACAGACUGUGAGAUCAUGACCUGAGCUGAAGUCAGACACAACCAACUGAGCCACCCAGGCGUCCCAAGGAUUUCAAAAUUUUAAAUGCAGAUGAGAUGCAACCCUUGCAUGGAUGGGAUGCCUCCUACCUCACCUUAAUCCCAGCCCUAGGCUCUGGAACCAAGAAAUGCAUGCCUUUAAAGUCCCAAACUUGUAUUUGAGUAAGACUUUGAGUUUCAUGAAGUUAGUGCCUAGACAGUGGUGAGUUGUUUCUUGUAGUUGUCUAGGAGUGGUUCCCAGACAGCAUGAACGCUGGUCCGUCCCCCUGUACCUGCAGCCCGACAGGGAGCCCACCUUUGCCCAAGGAAUAUUGUUGGCAGUGACCCAAAUAUGCCACCAGGUGGCACUCUUGCUUUGCUCCAUCCAGGUGCCCCUGCAAUGGGGAUUCUUAGCCAAGCUAAAGAGAUUUAAACUAGUUGCUAAACUGUUGCCAGUUGUUUUCUGAAAGGCCAGAAAGAAUCCAGAGCAGGAAUGAGGGUAAGCGGAGAGGCCAUAUGAAGAGGAUUGGAGGGAUCGCCUGGAAAGCCAGGAGCCAGGUACAGCCUGAUUAGUAACAAUAGGCCGGACUGCUUUUCAGCAGGUGAGAAAAACGAGAAUUUUAAACCAUCUUUUGUUCUCCUGUGCAGUAUAAACACACGUGACAUGGGAGAGAAAAGGGGGAUUAAUGGUUUUCUGUGAAGCAAAGCCUGGUGGGAAGAGCUCUGAUGCUGGCUCCACCACCAGCUAGCUGUGAUCUUGGACAGAUAACUGGACUUUGCAAGCCUGAAAUUCUUCAUCUUUAAAUGGGGAUCACUGUAGCCGCCCCCCCCCCCCCGGGGGAUCAUUAGAAGAUCAAAUAAACUGAUGUGCAGGAGGCCUUGGACAUGGUGCCUGGUACCCAGAAAAUGUUCAACAAAAGAGAGGUGCUAUGAUGGACUUUUAGGCAAAGCCUGAACGGCUAGAUUUUGUGCCCCCCUCCCUGCCCCGGCCCCCCCUCCCGCUGGCUGUUAUUGAUUAAGAGAUGACCUCAGAGUGACCCGGAGACAUAACUUGAUAAUGAACCAUGGCUUUAGCAGAGUCAACCAGAAGAAUUUCCCACCUGGAUUGAGUUUCACAGGUGUGAUUUUUGAACCAGGAAAUCAAGCUGGGUUCCCUGGCAAAACUGUCUCACCCUUGGCGACCGGGGAAACGUCUGACCACCGGGUGACUGGCCCCACUUAAGCUGUGCAUUGUUGCAGAAUGCUUCCUGUUUAUUGAGGCUUACUUUGUGUCAGUCACUUCACUAAGCACGUUGCACCCACUGUUUCAUUUAUUCCUUAAUACCACCUGGAGAAGUAACUGAGUCCAUUUUACAGACAAGGAAAUGUAGGUUUAGUGAGACUUAGUACCUUAUCAAGGCUCCUUCUGACAGUAAUUGGUUUAAACUUAGGUCUAUCUGACUUCUAAAUCAAUCAAUCUAUCCUCUGUCUGGCUACCUAUCUACCAUCUGUCUAAUGGCCUCUCAUCUGUCUAUUUGAUGUGUUAAAUACAAACCACUUUGAUCUACUAAUUAAGACAAGUUCCUUCGAAACCUCUAGACUCUAGGGAAGUCUUUUUUGACCUCAGUUCAAGCUUCUUUUUUGAAAAUAUAGAGAUGUAUUCACGGCUGGAGUUGUGCAGCUACAUCAUCCAUAACACAUACACGUGAUCUUCUGAGAAGCAUGUUGUUACUCAGAGGCCCCGUAACCUAGGUUAGGAGCCACUCUUGUGUUGGCCACACUUCCGGGGGUUCUGGGAGAGAGAAUGGUGUGCUGUGUCCUCUCCCUUGGGAGGACAGACAGUGCCACUCUCCGUUCUGUGUCGAGCUCCCUCUGCGGCCACCAACAAACCUAGUUGACCAGCGCGGUCUCACUUUUCAAUGGGAAACUGUUGGGUGAGAGAGGAAGUGUCAGAACAUCAAUAUCAGCCUGACUUGGUUGCGAGAGACGGCCGAGGAGCAAAUCUGCCUUCCCGAAGGAAAAACAUCACCAGCCAUCAGUGGAGGGAAUUUAGCUUUUGGUUCCUAACUGGAGAAGACAGCUACCUGUCAAAUGGCGUGGAGUCGACUGGGGAGCCAGUGUGGCUAUGUUCCCACUUAGCGAUGUUUGGUUUUCUCUCCAGAAAUGUACUUUAUUUCCUCUAAAUUCAUAUUGUAGCUCAUCUCAGAUUAAUAAAGUUUUCUCUAUUAAAGGA